UGAGGGGUGUUUACUGAUCUCAUCGUAGCGAAGCUACAUCAGAAAUGUAGCUGACGAUGCUCUCAUUUCUGCAAAAGAUUUAAGUUGUAUAGGACACAGGGUAUUCUUUGUGAAAUAACUAUGCAUCUUUACAGUCCAUUAAUUGGCAAUCGGCACCAACGUCUGCAACCAUGUAUAAUUCCAACAGCAGACAAAUGGGCCAAAAUUAUUGAAGCUUUCCUUUUGUCACUGUAAUUACAAGCAGAGGUUCAAGAAAGAACUCUAAACUGCUUGCCACCUCCUUUCUCCUCUCUUACAUCUUCCUCACCACCUCAGACUUUGGGGGGAAAACAACCACAGGAUAAGAUACAAACAACCAUGACAUUUCCAUAAAGAAAUGACUGAAAAUAUGGAGAAGAGUAUUGACAGCAGCCAUCUUAUUUCAUUAGUUUCCUAAGAAGAUACUCAGAAAGAAUAUAAACUUAAAAAUAUAUAUAUAUUUUUCUUAAGGAAGUUUGGUCUAGUCAGGGUGAACUAAUGGUUUGAGCAUCAGGAGAUCCCAAGUGGUAUUACCACUGAUUUGUUGCAUCAGUCAGGAAUACUCUCUUUGUUUCAGCACAAUUUUUUUCUGGUGGAAAGGGAGACCUAAUAUUUAGCAACUUGAAAAAUGGGGGAUUGUGACAACUGCACACUGAUUUAACCGUAAGAAGUACUUUACUGCUUCAAAACACAGAAUCCACAGUAAAUGACCAUGUAUCCACUACCUCAUCAGUGGCUUCAAUAAUGCAGGAGACAUGGCACUUGUAUUUGGAUUGUAGUUUGUGGACUACUUGACAGCCUUCUUUUCCAUAAUAUAUUCAUCACAAGAUAUACUGGUUUUGCAAUAAAGUAUUUUUUAAUUGCUAGCUUUAGAAAUAUUUAAGUACCCAAUUAUUUUUAUCUAAAAGACUAUUCUAGGAAAAAAGGAAAAUUUAAAAAUGGAUAGGGCCAUGGCUAGACAAGGAUUAUGGGUUGCACAGCAAGAGCACUAAGCACUCAAUGAAGUGCAUAAAUAAUUAGUAACACACUUUAAGACAACUUUUUCUUGGUUCAUAGUACCUAUGCUCACUUAAUUCCAGCUGAAAAUACAUCCAUUCGUCCACAGCGAAGGACAGAUCAAUUGGUAACCAAGUCAAUAAGAAGAGUGAUAAAUGUUGUAGCAACAAAGGCCAAAUAUUUUCUGUACAUACAUAGAUCAGACACUCAUUCAAAGAUUAGGCUCCAGUACAAAUUUAGCCUAGCAAAAAGAUCAUAUAUGAGAUAGACUUGCCUGUCAUAGUCUAUUGCCCAUAAAUGUAGGCAUGUGGGUACAUGUAAUAAUUUUUAACAUCUAGUUCUGAAUAUGUGAGUGAAGUUCAGUAACAUGGGCAGAAGAUUAAUAAAAACAGGUAACACUCCAUAAAUAGGCUGUUUCAUUUUUGCUUGUUUCAAAGUUAAAUGAAUACCCAUGUAUCCUCUUUUUUUUUGUUCAUUUUCUACAGACAUUGUUGAGACUAAUUUGGUCAGCACAAAUGGAUAUGACCUUCAAAAUCAAUAGAUGUCUUCACUAAAUUUCACUAAACUGCAUCUUGAAAACCUUCAUGACAGUAUUUUCACAUUUGAAGAAGUAUUUUGGCACCUAAAGAUGCAGCUAGGGCACCUAAUGUAAGUACAGUGUGAAUAAAGAUAAAUGUGUAAGUUCGGUUAGAUUCUCAAAUCCCUUUGAAAUCCUGAUCUUGGUAUGUACAUACUUACAAGGAAGAACAGAAAAAAAUCUCAAGAGAUAUGACCAGACAGCUGUUUACCUAUCUCAAAUAGUAAGGACUAAGGUCAUUUAAGUUCCAUAUCAGUCCAGUGAUUUGCAGAAUUCCCAAAAUGGUUAAACAAAUAACAAAGCCAAGGAAGACUGUGUGCUCCUUGUUCUAGUGAUUUACAGACCACUUCUGCAAAACGUGUCCCCCCAAAGUUCUUUACAGAAACAAAACAAAAUCAGUUCCUUUUAUCAGUGUAUCCCCAGUUCAGACUCUCACACAUAUGUUUUUCUAUAUCAUAUUACAUAAAUGAGCAUUGCUGUCAGCUCUAUCUGUGAUACUUGCCUUUUAAGUGAAUUACUUCAGCUGGGUUGAAGUGGCUCUGCUAAGAGAAGUCUGAAUGAUACAGAAUCACUUCAAGCUUAAUAACAUAUUUUUUGCCGAUUGUCAUAACAAUUUUUCUG